rnacentral:lncRNA from 1 species
UCUCAAAAACGAAAAGAAAGAUAAACAAAAACAAAAAAGAAAAAGGAAAUAAAAAGAUUGAAGGAGAUCCUCUUCUUCACAGGCACCUCUUUCGAUCUUCACGGUCAUCCUCAAACCCUCUCACUGUAAAUCUCUCUCUCACAAAACCUUCACCGGAUAACAACCCACAACAUCCUUCACCACCACACCCGCAAUCGUUC